UACAAUUAAGAUGCACAAAUUGAGUCAGCUAUUUUUCGUACGCCUUAUACUGCAAAUUUUUACUCCGACAGACAUUAAUGGACAGUAGAUAGUCAUUGAAAACGAAAAUAUGUCAUCAUACCUCUUAGAAAUGAGCUCCAAACAUAGGGCUUUGGGAGAUAAUUAAUUAAGUAGAAUCAGUUAAAGGGCAACUCUCCUUUGGCGGGUUCUCGUUGAACUAGAUCCAGAUUUAUCAUCCACGACCAUGAACCUGCCAAAGGAGAGAAGCCCUACAACUAGUUCACUUAGCUGAUAAUUUUCAUUUUCUUGUGGCACAAAAGAAAAAGGGUGUAAACUGCAGUUGUGAUUUAAGCAAAAGGGUACAGCCGGAGAUUUAUAGGGUCUUGUACCAGUGGGAGAAGUUGUUUAAGGCAUAGCAUAUGCGGAGGAUAUCCUUUGGUGCCUGCUUUCUACGCAUUUCCAUGCAAAGCAAAGGCUCCUUUUAUCUUAAAAAGCCUCUUCCAAAUAUUUGACAGAUUCUAUAAUUAGUUUGAUUGAUUUAGACCUAUGAUUGUUUCUAAUAGUUCUCGUUUCAUUGUGUCCAUAUCCAUCUCUAGAAGGUGAAGGGAGGAAGAAAAAAAAAAUAAAAGGAAGAAAGAGUCAAGGCGAGAUGCUUCGCUUUUCAGAAUAGUAUGUGGCAGCCAAAUAUGGACCUAGGGGUAUAUCCUUUAUAAUAUUCUUUUUUGUUUUAAACCUGCUUAAAGAUAUUUUUUUUCCCUGGCUUUUGAGUGUAAUCUUCUUCAUCCAAUGAGAAAAUUUCCCAGCAGAUUGUCAAAUUAUUUGCGAUUUCCCUUUGUUUUCCACUUCCACAUGCUUGAUGUUGUGAAAAACUCCCUUCCUCUCCUCUAUUUUACAAGUUAAAAGAUAGCAGAAACGUUUAUAUUUGUAUGCAUCUAUAACAGGUAAAACCACAGAAGUAGUCAAAGCAUGACAAAGGGAUCAACAAAACAGUUCAGAUAUUUAGAAUAGUAGUCAUAAGCAAUGUGGCAGCUGCUUUGGAUCUGGGAAUUUUUCAUAAUCACUGAGCUUAAUUUUCUAACUAAUUAAGCUGAACUUUCAAACGAGUACAAGGUUUGAAUCUCAACUAUUACAAUCCUUUCCCUUAUUAUCUUUUGCGCUAAAAACUAAAAUGAUGUAAAGCUAUAGUAUUAGCAGCAGUAGUAGUGUAAACAGAAUUGCAGAACAAGUAUAUAUAUAUAUAAUAUAUGAUUUCUAAUGUCAAGCAUUCAUAACUGCAGCUUUUCACAUAUGAUUUAAACUUCAAAUUUGCUAGUCAUUUCUUAACCAAAACAAGGAAAAUUAAAUCAACUUCAAUGACUUGGAUUCUUAAUUGGCUAUUCUCUCACUCAAUAUCUUCACACCCA